GUGUCAGCAGCCGCGGUAAUACCCGCGGCCCGAGUGGUGGUCGAUAUUAUUGAGCCUAAAACGUCCGUAGCCGGUCUUGUAAAUCCUUGGGUAAAUCGGCCAGCUUAACUGUCCGAAGUCCGGGGAGACUGCAAGACUUGGGAUCGGGAGAGGUCAGAGGUACUUCUGGGGUAGGGGUAAAAUCCUGUAAUCCUGGAAGGACCACCGGUGGCGAAGGCGUCUGACUAGAACGAAUUCGACGGUGAGGGACGAAGCCCUGGGGCGCAAACGGGAUUAGAUACCCCGGUAGUCCAGGGUGUAAACGCUGCGGGCUUGGUGUUGGGGGUCCUUUGUGGGCGCCCAGUGCCGGAGAGAAGUUGUUAAGCCUGCUGCUUGGGGAGUACGUCCGCAAGGAUGAA
rnacentral:rRNA from 1 species